rnacentral:rRNA from 1 species
UACGUAGGGCGCGAGCGUUAUCCGGAAUUAUUGGGCGUAAAGAGCUCGUAGGCGGUUUGUCACGUCUGCUGUGAAAGCCCGGGGCUUAACCCCGGGUGUGCAGUGGGUACGGGCAGACUGGAGUGCAGUAGGGGAGACUGGAAUUCCUGGUGUAGCGGUGAAAUGCGCAGAUAUCAGGAGGAACACCGAUGGCGAAGGCAGGUCUCUGGGCUGUUACUGACGCUGAGGAGCGAAAGCAUGGGGAGCGAACAGG